CGUUAAGUUGCAGGGUAUAGACCCGAAACCCGGUGAUCUAGCCAUGGGCAGGUUGAAGGUUGGGUAACACUAACUGGAGGACCGAACCGACUAAUGUUGAAAAAUUAGCGGAUGACUUGUGGCUGGGGGUGAAAGGCCAAUCAAACCGGGAGAUAGCUGGUUCUCCCCGAAAGCUAUUUAGGUAGCGCCUCGUGAAUUCAUCUCCGGGGGUAGAGCACUGUUUCGGCAAGGGGGUCAUCCCGACUUACCAACCCGAUGCAAACUGCGAAUACCGGAGAAUGUUAUCACGGGAGACACACGGCGGGUGCUAACGUCCGUCGUGAAGAGGGAAACAACCCAGACCGCCAGCUAAGGUCCCAAAGUCAUGGUUAAGUGGGAAACGAUGUGGGAAGGCCCAGACAGCCAGGAUGUUGGCUUAGAAGCAGCCAUCAUUUAAAGAAAGCGUAAUAGCUCACUGGUCGAGUCGGCCUGCGCGGAAGAUGUAACGGGGCUAAACCAUGCACCGAAGCUGCGGCAGCGACGCUGAUGCGUUGUUGGGUAGGGGAGCGUUCUGUAAGCCUGCGAAGGUGUGCUGUGAGGCAUGCUGGAGGUAUCAGAAGUGCGAAUGCUGACAUAAGUAACGA
rnacentral:rRNA from 1 species